rnacentral:rRNA from 1 species
UACGAAGGGUGCAAGCGUUACUCGGAAUUACUGGGCGUAAAGGGUGCGUAGGUGGUUUGUUAAGUCUGCUGUGAAAUCCCCGGGCUCAACCUGGGAAUGGCAGUGGAUACUGGCAAGCUAGAGUGCGGUAGAGGGUAGUGGAAUUCCCGGUGUAGCGGUGGAAUGCGCAGAUAUCAGGAGGAACACCGAUGGCGAAGGCAGAUCUCUGGGCCGUAACUGACGCUGAGGAGCGAAAGCGUGGGGAGCGAACAGG